rnacentral:rRNA from 1 species
GAGUUUGAUCCUGGCUCAGAUUGAACGCUGGCGGCAUGCCUUACACAUGCAAGUCGAACGGCAGCACGGGAGCUUGCUCCUGGUGGCGAGUGGCGAACGGGUGAGUAAUGCAUCGGAACGUAUCCUGGAGUGGGGGAUAACGUAGCGAAAGUUACGCUAAUACCGCAUAUUCUGUGAGCAGGAAAGCGGGGGACCUUCGGGCCUCGCGCUCUUGGAGCGGCCGAUGUCGGAUUAGCUAGUUGGUGAGGUAAAGGCUCACCAAGGCGACGAUCCGUAGCAGGUCUGAGAGGAUGAUCUGCCACACUGGAACUGAGACACGGUCCAGACUCCUACGGGAGGCAGCA